rnacentral:rRNA from 1 species
UACAGAGGGUGCAAGCGUUGUUCGGAAUUAUUGGGCGUAAAGCGCGUGUAGGCGGCUUUGCAAGUCGGGUGUGAAAGCCCUCAGCUCAACUGAGGAAGUGCGCCCGAAACUGCAGAGCUUGAGUGCCGGAGAGGGUGGCGGAAUUCCCCAAGUAGAGGUGAAAUUCGUAGAUAUGGGGGAGGAACACCGGUGGCGAAGGCGGCCACCUGG